rnacentral:rRNA from 1 species
AUUGAACGCUGGCGGCAUGCUUUACACAUGCAAGUCGGACGGCAGCAUAAAAGAGCUUGCUCUUUUGAUGGCGAGUGGCGAACGGGUGAGUGAUGCAUCGGAACGUACCGAGUAGUGGGGGAUAACUGUCCGAAAGGAUGGCUAAUACCGCAUAUUCUCUGAGGAGGAAAGCAGGGGACCUUAGGGCCUUGCGCUAUUUGAGCGGCCGAUGUCUGAUUAGCUAGUUGGUGGGGUAAGAGCCCACCAAGGCGACGAUCAGUAGCGGGUCUGAGAGGAUGAUCCGCCACACUGGGACUGAGACACGGCCCAGACUCCUACGGGAGGCAGCAGUGGGGAAUUUUGGACAAUGGGCGCAAGCCUGAUCCAGCCAUGCCGCGUGUAUGAAGAAGGCCUUCGGGUUGUAAAGUACUUUUGUCAGGGAAGAAAGGCCUGAGGAUAACACCCUCAAGUCAUGACGGUACCUGAAGAAUAAGCACCGGCUAACUACGUGCCAGCAGCCGCGGUAAUACGUAGGGUGCGAGCGUUAAUCGGAAUUACUGGGCGUAAAGCGAGCGCAGACGGUUAUUUAAGCAAGAUGUGAAAGCCCCGGGCUCAACCUGGGAACUGCGUUUUGAACUGGGUAACUAGAGUGUGUCAGAGGGGGGUAGAAUUCCACGUGUAGCAGUGAAAUGCGUAGAGAUGUGGAGGAAUACCGAUGGCGAAGGCAGCCCCCUGGGAUAACACUGACGUUCAUGCUCGAAAGCGUGGGUAGCAAACAGG